rnacentral:lncRNA from 1 species
AUGGCAGUUGCUCACGAGAAGGCUGGCUGCAUGGGAAAACUGUUGGAAUGGACUCACCGGCUGCUGCAGCUGGGAGGAGCCCUGAGGGCUCUGGUUUCUUACCUCACAGAGGAGGAAAGUGAGGGGGCUCUGAGGUCAGCCAGAGUCACACAGCGACCACCUGUUGAACCUGGCUUCUCACCUGGGCCUCCUGCUUCUCUGUGCGGCUUCUCUGCCGUCUUGAGUAUCUUAGCUGCAUGGCUGUGUGACUCCAAGCAAGGACAAUCGAAGGCCAACAAGAGGGAAGGUGAGCCACCAGUGAGAUGCUCAGCUCCUUGGUGCUGAUCUGGACUUGGCAAGGAAUGAUAACGGUGAUCUAAUCCAGCCUGACACCAAGUUGACCUCUACUUUCAAAACUACCCAAAAUACUGGAUGAAGCAGGACAAACUGCUAUCUAUUAAUAGCAAAACUCACCCUAAGUCUACAUUGUGCUUUGAGUUAUAACUAAUAGUAGCCUGCAAUUAUAAUCUUCAAGAAUUAAAGCAAACCUUUCAUUGGGGACAUUUUCGAAUGGACUCAUAAUGAACAAUAUAAUCAUGAAACCCCAUGUGCAUUUUGUCAAGACAAGACCUCACAACUAUUUCUUUUUCUCUUAGCUUCCUUUUAACAAUUCCUAUGCUUGUAUGCUUUGUAAUGUUAAUCAACUGUACAGUGUAUAUAAAUACAUAAAUGCACAAUAGUUAAGUUUACAAACGUCGAGGAUGUGUACUCAAAACCUCUUCACUCCUCAGGAGGAGUGUGUGAAUGUUGAGAGAAGGCUGCUCCACACGGCAGCCAGGAGGCCUGUCCAGUGUGCACAUCUGAUCCUGAUGCCGUGUGGUGCUCACUCCUCCUGGCUUCUUCUUGCUUUAAGGAAAGUGCUGUAAGAACUUGCCUCAUUCCCCACCUUGCUCCUCUGCUGUGUUCCCGUGCGGUGUACAGUGUGAACGUGUGCACAGUGCAUGCAUCGACCCUCCUUUCCUCUUAUCCAGGUCUUUGCACUCUCUUCUUCCUCUUCCUAUCAGCUACCACCCCACUUUUCCAGGGGCUCCCUCGCUUCCUUCCCGUCCAGGUUGGGUUUCCUAGUGACCCAUGUGGAUGGAAUUUAAUUCUUUUCCUUCAUUGCUCUUGGUUUAAUCUGUCACAGUAGACCAUCUCAGUGAUGACGAAUGUCUCUCCCUUCCUCUGACUCUCUCCUUCCCUUCCUUGUAGUCUGUAGGGAGGCCGGCUCCCAGCAUCUAAUGAGUUUCCCCGCCCAGCCGCUGCAGUUCAAGGUGGAAAGAGUAAGAUGUGAUCCCUGUAAACCAGCUGGUAGAUGAAUCAUCACUGGAUGAGAAGCUCAGCACUGGAAGAGAUAAGGAACAAUGCAGGAAAACAAUUCAAGCUCACAGGCAGUGCAUUGGUAAUUGCCAAACAAGCACAGUGGAUGUCAAAUGCAUCGGGUUCAAAGACAGAGCACUGUGGGGUGGGAAUAUAAAAGCCAUAUAUGGACAAACACAUUGACG